UCCUUCUCCCUUUAAUGCUCAUGGCCGAGCAGAAUCCUAGCAGUUGGUUUUCGGGGACAUGAGUCUGCCUUCUCCCCAGAUUGCUGGCUUUCUGAUUAAAAGCAAUGUUUUCUGUUUCUACUGACAUUUGCCUCUCGGGUACUGAAUUGUGAGUGGCCAGCUGCCAAAUCUGAGUUUGGUAACACGGUGACCAAAAUAUUCUUGGCCACAUGGAAAGUGAAAAAAUGCUUCUCUAGAACCCUUGGCUCAAAAAAAAGAAAAUAAAGUCACAGGUGUCCAGAGGGCAUGGGCCCCAGGCGCUCCUGUCGGGGGACAAGGCAUCCAUAUCUCAGGGGAACCACAAUAAACUCAGUGAAGACAAGCAAGUCAGGGAGCAGAAGGAUGAAAGACGAAGCUGAGACUAAUGAGGCAGAGGGCCAACAGGAAACAUCCGGAAGUCCACAGCUAGCUUUCCAAUUAGGCCAGAGGCGGGGCCUCUGUCCUGGGAAGGGCCAGGCGGCCAGUGUCUCAGCUCUGCUCCGAUCACGCUCCCCUUAGGACAAGACCACAGCUGCCUGGACCCUCCUUGGGCGAUCCUGGGCUCAGCCGCUCCUUCUACUGGGCACCCUCUGCCCAGACACACUGGGCUGGAGACAGAGCACUUUGAGUCUCCAUUCCCUUCUACAAAACCUUUUGCACAUCUACAACUCCACUUUCUCAGCAAUCAGCCUACUGAGACUUCUGUGUAGUCUGCAUGAAACACACGGACUGAUUUGGGCAGAAGUGACCUCUUCACCACACGGGCCCCGCAUCCAGGAGCGCCCGUGCGCAUCUGAGCUCCUGCUCUCAGGAGAGGCCUUCGACUUUCUGCUGCUAGGGGGAUCUCUGAUGCCCCCACUAUGCUUUCUGGUUGUUUUUUUCUGAGAUAGACGGAAGCCCUGAGCAGAAGCUGAAAGAGAGGGUUCCCGGAGGGAGGAAGAACCAGCCAGCGGGGGCCUCAUGCCGAGUGGACCACGUCCAGUCUCACCACAGAAUCCCUUCCCUCAAAGUCUCUCCCAUCCAGAUGGUGGGCACCCCAUGGCCGCACCUUACACACAACCCCAGGUCCACUGCUCACCCUCACUCCGUGGAAGACAAGGGGGAAGCCCUUCCGCGGUAACUUCUCCCAGCCCAGCAAGGACGUCACCACUGUGGGGUCCGCGCAGACUUCAAGCUCCCGGUGGUAGAAGAGCCUGGAC